UAAAAAAGUAAUAUUAUAUAAAUGCAUAAAAAACCCAAUAUAGAAUUAUGGAAAAUAAAAGUAACUUUACACAUAUAAAACGGACCAAAAUGCAUACUACAUUUUAAUUACAAUUUUUGGACACUAAUGCUUCUUUGUCACCAACAGACUCACCAAAGAAUGUUACAUGAUCAACAAUGAGUGCUCUAGUCUUGUGAAACAGCCCAAAAAUGGAAAGCAGUUCUUCAGAGAUUGGAUGGCCGUGAUCUGUCCUGUGAAAAAUGGACAGAAUCUCAUGUGAACUCCUGGUUGAAAUGCAUUG